AGGGCCGCCUUUCAAGCCCCUCUAUGUGUGACUGUGCCUGUUAGUUGAGUUGUUAAACUGAGCUGAACUCAGUCCAACUUGCAUUGCUUGACAGGAGUUUCCCUUAAGUGCAGUGUGAAAUCUCAAAUCAAAAUUUUGAUUUCAUCAAAACCCCCAAACCCUCCUUACAAGGUGACCAGGUGUACAGCAAUUUGGGAUCAAGGAAAGAGUUACAAUGAUGAUCCAGCUUCCCCGGAGACUGCUGCUGUGUUUCAUAGCUGCGGUGGUAAUCGGAUCGUUGGCAUUAUUUGUAGUGUGCACGGCACUGCAUAUUCAAACGCCAUCGGAAAAACCAACCAGCUUCCACAUAAAGCACUACAGGUUGUAUUACAAUAAAAACAACAUCCACAACAGUUUGAACUAUCAACUGUAUUUGAAAAUGAAGAGAUCAUUACUGAUGAUCAACUGUCUUCUGAAAAUGAACUGGAGAUUAUUGAAAAGCUAAGGCAGAAUUUGAUCAACAAACUAUCUUCUCACAAUAAACCGGACAUUACUGAAGAUCUAGAGCGGAAUUCAGUUAAACAUUCAGAUCUUCCAGAUCCAUCAAAAUACACACAACCUCACAUUACAAAUCUAAACACAAACACUUCCAGAACAGUGCCAGAAAAUGGGACAGAAAUAUUCAUCCCAGUAAAACCCACUAUGGCAGACUUUUUUGGUGACCAGUAUGCUGUGGAUGAUGUUCCUUCACAAACAGUUGAUGCUUACGGGUUCAUGACUCCAAACUGGACUUCAUUCUCGGACCACUACUAUGACAAAAAGAGAAAGCCUGUCAUUUUUUAUGCCAAUCAUGACAUGCAAAUGGAAAUGAAGUUGUGGAUGCAGCUGCAUGAGGCCGGACUGAUAAAUCUCUUCACGCGUAACUGAGAACGCUGAUCUUUGUACAAGGUGUUUAUUUAAACUACAAAAAGUGUCAUUUGUUCACAGGAUAAACUUGUUCUUCAUUUCAAACCUUUAUUUGGGAUUUCUGCUUCAAAAGGUGAAGAUCAGACAUUGUUUAGUUGUUUCAUGGGCACUGCAAACAGAAGCAACUUUCUUGCCGACCUUCUGAAUAAUGGUUCAGACCAAUAGGCUGACUAGUGCUUCAUAGAAAGAGGAGCUGAAAACAAGGUUAGAUAUUGAAAUAACUAACCCACUCAAACAUCUGCUUGUCCACAAACGGUGAGUCAUUGCAGAUGGAGGUGGGGCAGAAUGGAGUCUAUCUGGUCUACAUAACUGUAAUACAUUUAUGUGCCUUAUCUCAGUAAAUGAUCUGUGAAAGACACAGAAUCAACCAAAGAGGUUAUUUUAAAAUGAUUUUUAUAAGAUGACCAUUUUUAUUGUGGUAUAUGAAUGUAAGCAUUUGUAGAUGGUCUAUCCAUAAUGUCCUUGUUGCGUCAGGCGUGGAGAUCUACAUAUGUAGGGUUUUCUGUUUUAUGGAGGACUUAUAUUUAAGCUUUAAAGUGCAAUAUCUUAAGUUCAUUAAACAAGCUGUUUGAAUUGAAAUAUGAAUUGUUUUGAUCUGUUCUGCUCAGUUUGGUUACACUGUAAAAAAAUGUUGCACCACCAAAUUGUUUAUUAUAAUUAAAUUGGCUUUAUUAGUGUAAAAAAAUGUGAAAGUCAUUUCAACUUCAUUUUUUUUUAAUUUUGGCCGGUAAAGAAUUAAUAUAACGUAAUAUUAAUAUAAUGUUAAAAUAAGUUAAAACAACGUAAACAUUUGUAAAUAUAACUUAAAAUCACAAAAUGUUUUUUUAACAAUUUUGCUUUUUACUUUAAUUCUUUAAAAUAGGUUAAGAAAUGUCAACUUAUGCUACUGAGUUACAGCAACUGGUCAAAAUUUUAAACAGUAAGUUGUAAUGACUUUAAAGGUCAGUUUGAUUGUACUUUAAAAUGUAAGGCAACAUUUGACUGUAAGUGACUUCAACACUUUACUACCAAAUCAAUUUUAAACUAUUACUUCUGGUUGCUUUUAACAGGUUUAGGGAUUUAACUUUUCACUUUUAUGAAGGAGUAAAUCAUUUUUGGUAACACAUACAAAAUCACAAAUGAUCAGACAAUGAAAGACGACACUGAACAUGACAGUGUGGUGUAUUUAAAGUUGUAUUUAAAAAUAAAUCUUUUGAAGAUG